rnacentral:rRNA from 1 species
UACAGAGGGGGCGAGCGUUGUUCGGAAUUACUGGGCGUAAAGGGCGCGUAGGCGGUCAGACCAAGUCGAAUGUGAAAUUCCAGAGCUUAACUCUGGACGGUCGUUCGAUACUGGUCGGCUAGAGUGUGGAAGAGGAUGUCGGAAUUCCCGGUGUAGCGGUGAAAUGCGUAGAGAUCGGGGGGAACACCCGUGGCGAAGGCGGCCAGCUGGGCCGGUCCUGACGCUGAGGCGCGAAGGCGUGGGGAGCGAACGGG